rnacentral:rRNA from 1 species
UACGGGGGAUGCAAGCGUUAUCCGGAUUUAUUGGGCGUAAAGCGCCUGUAGGUUGUUUAAUAAGUCUGUUGUUAAAGACUAGGGCUUAACCCCAGGAAAGCAAUGGAAACUACUAGACUUGAGUAUGAUAGGGGUAGAGGGAAUUUCUAGUGUAGCGGUGAAAUGCGUAGAUAUUAGAAAGAACACCAGUGGCGAAAGCGCUCUACUGGACCAUUACUGACACUCAGAGGCGAAAGCUAGGGUAGCAAAAGGGAUUAGAUACCCCUGUAGUCCUAGCCGUAAACGAUGGAUACUAGAUGUUGCGCUUAUAGUGCAGUAUCGUAGCUAACGCGUUAAGUAUCCCGCCUGGGGAGUACGCUCGCAAGGGUG